rnacentral:rRNA from 1 species
AUUGAACGCUGGCGGCAUGCCUAACACAUGCAAGUCGAGCGCCUCGCAAGAGGAGCGGCAGACGGGUGAGUAACGCGUGGGAAUCUACCGUACCCUACGGAAUAGCUCUGGGAAACUGGAAGUAAUACCGUAUACGCCCUUUGGGGGAAAGAUUUAUCGGGGUAUGAUGAGCCCGCGUUGGAUUAGCUAGUUGGUGGGGUAAAGGCCUACCAAGGCGACGAUCCAUAGCUGGUCUGAGAGGAUGAUCAGCCACAUUGGGACUGAGACACGGCCCAAACUCCUACGGGAGGCAGCAGUGGGGAAUAUUGGACAAUGGGCGCAAGCCUGGUCCAGCCAUGCCGCGUGAGUGAUGAAGGUCUUAGGAUUGUAAAGCUCUUUCACCGAUGAAGAUAAUGACGGUAGUCGGAGAAGAAGCCCCGGCUAACUUCGUGCCAGCCGCCGCAGUAA